UGAAUACGAGACGCUAAGGCGUCGAAGUAGUGUAUGUCAUACUUCCAAGAAAUGCUUGCACUGUCAUAGAUAAAAAACGCCUGUACCAUAACCGACACAGGUGGGUAGGUAGAGUAUACUAAGGGGCGCGAGAUAACUCUCUCUAAGGAACUCGGCAAAAUAACUCCGUAACUUCGGGAGAAGGAGUGCCUUAUUCGUAAGGUUGCAAUAACAAGAUCCAAGCAACUGUUUAUCAAAAACACAGGUCUCCGCUAAGUCGUAAGACGAUGUAUGGGGGCUGACGCCUGCCCAGUGCCAGAAGGUUAAAGAAGUUGGUUAGCAAUUGCGAAGCUGAUAACUGAAGCCCUGGUGAACGGCGGCCGUAACAAUAACGGUCCUAAGGUAGCGAAAUUCCUUGUCGGGUAAGUUCCGACCCGCACGAAAGGCGUAAUGAUUUGGAUACUGUCUCGGAGAGGGGCUCGGUGAAAUAGACUUGUCUGUGAAGAUGCGGACUACCUGCACCAGGACAGAAAGACCCUAUGAAGCUUUACUGUAACUUGAAAUUGAAAUUGGACUUUAUUCGCGCAGUAUAGGUGGGAGGCGUUGAUUAUAAUCUUGUGGGAUUAUUGGAGCCAUCAGUGAGAUACCACUCUUGUAAUGUUAGAUUUCUAACUUUGAAUCAUUAUCUGGUCAAAGAACAGUUUCAGGCGGGCAGUUUGACUGGGGCGGUCGCCUCCUAAACGGUAACGGAGGCGUACAAAGGUUUCCUCUGAACGGUUAGAAAUCGUAUCUAGAGUGUAAAGGCAUAAGGAAGCUUGACUGUGAGACCUACAAGUCGAGCAGGGACGAAAGUCGGUCUUAGUGAUCUGACGGUACUGAGUGGAAAGGCCGUCACUCAACGGAUAAAAGUUACUCUAAGGAUAACAGGCUGAUCUCCCCCAAGAGUUCACAUCGACGGGGAGGUUUGGCACCUCGAUGUCGGCUCAUCGCAUCCUGGGGCGGUAGUACGUCCCAAGGGUUGGGCUGUUCGCCCAUGAAAGCGGUACGCGAGCUGGGUUCAGAACGUCGUGAGACAGUUCGGUCCAUAUCCGGUGUAGGCGUUAGAAUAUUGAGGGGAGCCUUCUUUAGUACGAGAGGACCGAGAAGGACAUACCUCUGGUGUACCAGUUAUCGUGCCAACGGUAAACGCUGGGUAGCUAUGUAUGGAGUGGAUAACCGCUGAAAGCAUCUAAGUGGGAAGCCCACCUCAAGAUAAGUA
rnacentral:rRNA from 1 species